UUGGACAACUUGCAAUGGGUGAGUCAGAUAAAAAAGUUUGGGGCAAACAAAAAAAAUCAACCCAAAUGUCAUGAUGUGUUUGUUUUAGGUUAUUGCUGCAGGCUUAUUUUGAAAUGUCCGGUACACCACUUGUUCGCAUAUUAUAAGUUGCCUAAACUAACAUCAUUCACUAUUACAGGUACAUCACCAUUUACAUUUUACAAUACAUUACAUACAUUAAUGUUUAUGAUCUUUACUGAAUUCUUCAAACUAUGUAACUAUGUUUCGUGUUUGAUUGCGAGAGCCUCAGUUUACACUGAUGUCAAACACUCCACAAAUCUGUGA